rnacentral:rRNA from 1 species
ACUGACCGAUAGUGAACCAGUACCGUGAGGGAAAGGCGAAAAGAACCCCGGCGAGGGGAGUGAAAAAGAACCUGAAACCGUGUACGUACAAGCAGUGGGAGCACGCUUAGGCGUGUGACUGCGUACCUUUUGUAUAAUGGGUCAGCGACUUAUAUUCUGUAGCAAGGUUAACCGAAUAGGGGAGCCGAAGGGAAACCGAGUCUUAACUGGGCGUUAAGUUGCAGGGUAUAGACCCGAAACCCGGUGAUCUAGCCAUGGGCAGGUUGAAGGUUGGGUAACACUAACUGGAGGACCGAACCGACUAAUGUUGAAAAAUUAGCGGAUGACUUGUGGCUGGGGGUGAAAGGCCAAUCAAACCGGGAGAUAGCUGGUUCUCCCCGAAAGCUAUUUAGGUAGCGCCUCGUGAAUUCAUCUCCGGGGGUAGAGCACUGUUUCGGCAAGGGGGUCAUCCCGACUUACCAACCCGAUGCAAACUGCGAAUACCGGAGAAUGUUAUCACGGGAGACACACGGCGGGUGCUAACGUCCGUCGUGAAGAGGGAAACAACCCAGACCGCCAGCUAAGGUCCCAAAGUCAUGGUUAAGUGGGAAACGAUGUGGGAAGGCCCAGACAGCCAGGAUGUUGGCUUAGAAGCAGCCAUCAUUUAAAGAAAGCGUAAUAGCUCACUGGUCGAGUCGGCCUGCGCGGAAGAUGUAACGGGGCUAAACCAUGCACCGAAGCUGCGGCAGCGACGCUUAUGCGUUGUUGGGUAGGGGAGCGUUCUGUAAGCCUGCGAAGGUGUGCUGUGAGGCAUGCUGGAGGUAUCAGAAGUGCGAAUGCUGACAUAAGUAACGAUAAAGCGGGUGAAAAGCCCGCUCGCCGGAAGACCAAGGGUUCCUGUCCAACGUUAAUCGGGGCAGGGUGAGUCGACCCCUAAGGCGAGGCCGAAAGGCGUAGUCGAUGGGAAACAGGUUAAUAUUCCUGUACUUGGUGUUACUGCGAAGGGGGGACGGAGAAGGCUAUGUUGGCCGGGCGACGGUUGUCCCGGUUUAAGCGUGUAGGCUGGUUUUCCAGGCAAAUCCGGAAAAUCAAGGCUGAGGCGUGAUGACGAGGCACUACGGUGCUGAAGCAACAAAUGCCCUGCUUCCAGGAAAAGCCUCUAAGCAUCAGGUAACAUCAAAUCGUACCCCAAACCGACACAGGUGGUCAGGUAGAGAAUACCAAGGCGCUUGAGAGAACUCGGGUGAAGGAACUAGGCAAAAUGGUGCCGUAACUUCGGGAGAAGGCACGCUGAUAUGUAGGUGAAGUCCCUUGCGGAUGGAGCUGAAAUCAGUCGAAGAUACCAGCUGGCUGCAACUGUUUAUUAAAAACACAGCACUGUGCAAACACGAAAGUGGACGUAUACGGUGUGACGCCUGCCCGGUGCCGGAAGGUUAAUUGAUGGGGUCAGCGCAAGCGAAGCUCUUGAUCGAAGCCCCGGUAAACGGCGGCCGUAACUAUAACGGUCCUAAGGUAGCGAAAUUCCUUGUCGGGUAAGUUCCGACCUGCACGAAUGGCGUAAUGAUGGCCAGGCUGUCUCCACCCGAGACUCAGUGAAAUUGAACUCGCUGUGAAGAUGCAGUGUACCCGCGGCAAGACGGAAAGACCCCGUGAACCUUUACUAUAGCUUGACACUGAACAUUGAGCCUUGAUGUGUAGGAUAGGUGGGAGGCUUUGAAGUGUGGACGCCAGUCUGCAUGGAGCCGGCCUUGAAAUACCACCCUUUAAUGUUUGAUGUUCUAACGUGGACCCGUGAUCCGGGUUGCGGACAGUGUCUGGUGGGUAGUUUGACUGGGGCGGUCUCCUCCUAAAGAGUAACGGAGGAGCACGAAGGUUGGCUAAUCCUGGUCGGACAUCAGGAGGUUAGUGCAAUGGCAUAAGCCAGCUUGACUGCGAGCGUGACGGCGCGAGCAGGUGCGAAAGCAGGUCAUAGUGAUCCGGUGGUUCUGAAUGGAAGGGCCAUCGCUCAACGGAUAAAAGGUACUCCGGGGAUAACAGGCUGAUACCGCCCAAGAGUUCAUAUCGACGGCGGUGUUUGGCACCUCGAUGUCGGCUCAUCACAUCCUGGGGCUGAAGUAGGUCCCAAGGGUAUGGCUGUUCGCCAUUUAAAGUGGUACGCGAGCUGGGUUUAGAACGUCGUGAGACAGUUCGGUCCCUAUCUGCCGUGGGCGCUGGAGAACUGAGGGGGGCUGCUCCUAGUACGAGAGGACCGGAGUGGACGCAUCACUGGUGUUCGGGUUGUCAUGCCAAUGGCACUGCCCGGUAGCUAAAUGCGGAAGAGAUAAGUGCUGAAAGCAUCUAAGCACGAAACUUGCCCCGAGAUGAGUUCUCCCUGACCCUUUAAGGGUCCUGAAGGAACGUUGAAGACGACGACGUUGAUAGGCCGGGUGUGUAAGCGCAGCGAUGCGUUGAGCUAACCGGUACUAAUGAACCGUGAGGCUUAACCUUACAACGCCGAAG